rnacentral:lncRNA from 1 species
AAAUUUAAUCACCUAAGAAUUAACCCCUUUGUAAUAAUUAUCUUUUUUUGCAAAUUUUGACUUUUUCAACGCAUAUGUGGCACUUCAUUAAAGGACCUAGCAGGCCACAUGUGUAAAUUGCUUUUAUAAAAAAAAUAAAAAGGCCACGCAUGUAUUUAUUGAUUUAAAAAAAAAAUUGACACUUUUGUUUUAUUUAAAAACUCACCCUUUUCUUCGUAUCUCAUCUUCAUACAUCUAUCAUAAAAAAUCCAGAAUUAAAAAAAAAAAAAAAAAAAAAAUCACCAUUUUCAAACAUUCAUCAUACAAUCCAAAAAAAAAAGAAAAUUAGCAGCAAUUAGAGAGAAUAUUAAAUUUGCAAAAACUAAAAAUUGAUAAUGAUUAUUUUAACAACAAGAAUCAAACUGGAACAAUAUAUUUAUUAUUGUUCUGGAUCGGUCAGAAGAUCAAUCGCAUGUUAACACGUGGCAUAACUUAUACCUCCAUAAGGCUCCAAGCCUGAAGGAGAAUGCUGGUUUAUGUGCACCGCACCGCACAGAAGCGCGCCCCCUUGCGAGGAUCACCUUACAUGUGUCCUCCUUUGUCCCUAAUCACAUGUCGCAUAAUCCGGACACGGUUAUGACUAACGUGCACCUAUAUAAGGGUGAACUUGCUUCACCCUCAAGGUAUGAUUCACU